AACUGGGUGGGCAGUGGUGCUUCAUUUGCUUUGUUGGGAGUUUGAGCAAUCAUCUUCCUCAUAUUACAUAUUUAUUCUUCUCUCUAUUGUUUAAGUUAGAGAUCCUUUAUUUUUAUUAUUAAUAUUAUUUAACACCCCCCUCCCCCCUUUCCUCUCCUCUCUUUUCUUUAGGGCCCUCCUCACAAGCAUGGGGAGGGUUGGUGGUCUGGAAGGUUUUGGAACAUAGUAAUCUCCCA
rnacentral:misc_RNA from 1 species